rnacentral:lncRNA from 1 species
UUACAUAUUCCAGUGUUUGGGAUGGUUCUUGUUGGUAGAGUGAUGCUGUUGGUGUGAAACUUUUCACAGCUUUCUUCUGAUAGACAGGAUUGUGACUACGGAGACCCUAAAAGGUCCCAGAAACUCGGGGAUUACAACUGCCUCCACGAUAAACAGUUGAAGAAGUUCUUCAGACAUCCAGAGAAAAAGAAGAGGCUCUUAGAACUUGGCUUAAUUUCUCCGGAUGGAAAAGUCCAGUGCUCCGUAAAGGAAUUUAACGACUACGUUGAGCACCUGAAGAGCACCCCACUGAAACAGGAUACAUCAGAAUUCAAGCAGCCCAGCUUACAAAUGACCUGCCAGAGCAAGGGCUCCAGCUGCCCGGAGAAGAAGGAGCAGCACAUUAAACAAAAACUAACUGAUCAGGAUAAGGAUGAACGGACAUUACUCGCACAUUCCUACACAUUAGAGCGUGAUUAUGAUCAGGUUUUUCAGUUCAAGACUGAGAAAGAGCCUGAGGAGCUGCAGCUGAUAGACCUUGAGGAGGAGGAGCAGGAGAAGGAGGGGGAGAGCUUCCAAACCGAGGUGGCUGAUGUUUUAGUGGAGGACAUAGACCAAACUCCUAGAGAAGAAACGGUGGAGAUGACAACAUCAAAGCCAAUCCUCUCACCCAAAACUGAGAAGAAGCUGAAGAAAAAGAAAUCUUCCAGUUUGACUUGGAUAAAUGUCCAAGAG